rnacentral:rRNA from 1 species
CCUACGGGAGGCAGCAGUGAGGAAUAUUGGUCAAUGGACGAGAGUCUGAACCAGCCAUGCCGCGUGAAGGAAGACUGCCCUAUGAGUUGUAAACUUCUUUUAUACAAGAAUAAAACGAGGCACGUGUACCUUUCUGCAAGUACUUUAUGAAUAAGGAUCGGCUAACUCCGUGCCAGCAGCCGCGGUAAUACGGAGGAUCCGAGCGUUAUCCGGAUUUAUUGGGUUUAAAGGGAGCGUAGGUGGAUUGUUAAGUUAGUGGUGAAAGUUUGCAGCUUAACCCUGGAAUUGCCACUUAUACUGUUAGUCUAGAGAGCAGAUGCGGUAGGCGGAAUGUAUGGUGUAGCGGUGAAAUGCUUAGAGAUCAUACAGAACACCGAUUGCGAAGGCAGCUUACCAAUCUAUAUCUGACGUUGAGGCACGAAAGCGUGGGGAGCAAACAGGAUUAGAUACCCGGGUAGUC